GACGAACGCUGGCGGCGUGCUUAACACAUGCAAGUCGAACGGAAAGGCCCUGCUUUCGUGGGGUGCUCGAGUGGCGAACGGGUGAGUAACACGUGAGUAACCUGCCCUUGACUUUGGGAUAACUUCAGGAAACUGGGGCUAAUACCGGAUAGGAGCUCCUGCUGCAUGGUGGUGGUUGGAAAGUUUCGGCGGUUGGGGAUGGACUCGCGGCUUAUCAGCUUGUUGGUGGGGUAGUGGCUUACCAAGGCUUUGACGGGUAGCCGGCCUGAGAGGGUGACCGGCCACAUUGGGACUGAGAUACGGCCCAGACUCCUACGGGAGGCAGCAGUGGGGAAUAUUGCACAAUGGGCGGAAGCCUGAUGCAGCAACGCCGCGUGCGGGAUGACGGCCUUCGGGUUGUAAACCGCUUUCGCCUGUGACGAAGCGUGAGUGACGGUAAUGGGUAAAGAAGCACCGGCUAACUACGUG
rnacentral:rRNA from 1 species